rnacentral:rRNA from 1 species
UACGUAGGCAGCAAGCGUUGUUCGGAGUUACUGGGCGUAAAGAGUAUGUAGGCGGUGCUCCAAGUCUGGUGUGAAAUCUCCCGGCUUAACUGGGAGGGUGCGCCGGAUACUGGAGUGCUUGAGUGUGGGAGAGGAAAGCGGAAUUCCUGGUGUAGCGGUGAAAUGCGUAGAUAUCAGGAGGAACACCGGUGGUGUAGACGGCUUUCUGGACCACUACUGACGCUGAGAUACGAAAGCGUGGGGAGCAAAC